CCCUUCAACCGAUUCUCAUCAAUUUAUAUACAAUUGUAGAUUAUCCAUAAUAUCAACCAGCCUCCUCAAAAAACAAUAGACAGAAAAUGCUGGCCCGGUUUUGGUCGGGAGUCGGCGAGGAUGGUUCCUGCGGCGGUCGGUUGACACGUCCGUGGCAGGAUCCGGCGGCGGCGCUCCAGAUCUGGGGUCUAGACUGGAGUCUAGAACUGGAACGGGGCACCAACGACUUGGCUUCACAUCGGCCUGCAUGCAUGCACUCGAUAGAAUUAGAACGAGAUAAGGAAAUUAGAGACAGAGUGGAGGGGAAGGGAAGGGGACAUGAUCUGGCGGUGGAGCUCCACUGGAACGGGGCGCGAUGGGACGAGACGAGAUCUGGCGGCGACGAGCAACAACACGGGGAUGAGAAAGGGG
rnacentral:lncRNA from 1 species